UUGCUUCAGCAGCACAUAUAUUAAAAUUAGAACAAUACAGAGAAGAGGCAUGGGCCUUAUACAAGGAUGAUGCAUAUUCAUGAAAUGUGUUUAUACAAUUUUUUU